rnacentral:tRNA from 1 species
GCCUGGGUGGCUCAGUGGUUAAGCGUCUGACUUCAGCUCAGGUCAUGAUCUCACGGUUUGUGGGUUCAAGCCCUGCGUUGGGCU